rnacentral:rRNA from 1 species
AAUAGAUACCCGGGUAGUCCACGCCGUAAACGAUGGGCACUAGGUGCCGGGGGGAGCGACCCCGUCGGUGCCGUAGCUAACGCGUUAAGUGCCCCGCCUGGGGAGUACGGCCGCAAGGCUGAAACUCAAAGGAAUUGACGGGGGCCCGCACAGGCGGUGGAGCAUGUGGUUUAAUUCGAAGCAACGCGAAGAACCUUACCUGGGUUUGACAUGCACGUGAAACCCCUGUGAAAGCAGGGGCCUCCUUCGGGACACGUGCACAGGUGCUGCAUGGCUGUCGUCAGCUCGUGUCGUGAGAUGUUGGGUUAAGUCCCGCAACGAGCGCAACCCUUGCCCCGUGUUACUAACAGGUCAAGCUGAGGACUCUCGGGGGACUGCCGGCGUCAAGCCGGAGGAAGGUGGGGACGACGUCAAGUCAUCAUGGCCCUUACGCCCAGGGCUACACACGUGCUACAAUGGCCAGGGCAGAGGGCUGCGAGACCGCAAGGUGGAGCGAAUCCCAGAAACCUGGCCCAAGUUCGGAUUGCGGGCUGCAACUCGCCCGC